CUCAUAGCUUAUUUUGGAGCACGGUCUGGAGUCUUUGAGGAGUGUACCAGCAUGUGGUCAGCUAGAGGCCCUCAGGCCCUUCGUAAAGCUCCUUUCUGUGGCAGAACCAGCACAAGUAGCUGGCUACAAGGAUUUAGAGCUCCGUGGUAGAUGCUGUGCCUUGCAUAGUGGUAUAUGGUAUGUCUGCGCCAGGUGGAAUUCAGUGAGUGGUCAAUGAGUGACUUAAAGUAUCUGAAGGGCUAUCACCUUUUAAUCAAACAGACAGGUUAGUGCUUCCUCCUAACGUUGGCUGCUGCAUCAGAGAACCUCAAACAAGGCUGGAGCCAGGCUGACUUUUGAAAGGUCUGCCUUCCAAGUUCAUCCUUUCCCUUCUAGAGACCUUACCUAAGAGACGCUUUGUGAAAAUCAGCUUUACUUCUGAGGACCUCUAGACAGACUGUAACCUUGUUUAGCAAUUAUGACAAGGAUAUAGCAAGUCCUUUUGGAAAAAUUUCUCACAGCCACAUGCUCCAUGCCCCCUGCUCCAUGUUAUAGCAAGAUUCCUUAGGCCUCAGCGAAAAUGGCUUGGUAUGCGGCCACCAGCAAGGUAGGACUGUGGCCCCUUGUAAGCUCAGUGAAAGGCACAAGUCCUGAAAUAUGCUACUGAGCUAUCCAAGAGCUGGAGAGAGGAAACCAAAACCUGUCUGAAGGUAGAAGUGCCUGAUUUGAACAAAUGAGUUGAGAAUGAAUGCUGCAAAUGGAAUAAUUCCGCACUGAAACAAAAACAAAAACAAACACAGAGGCCUCAGAGCUUCUAAAUCCAAGUGAUUACUUCAAGGUGUGGAGGGAGUUCAACCAUCAUUUGGGAACUGAAAACCCGCUCUUAUGAUUGAACUAGAUUUGGCCUUGAAUUCACUGUGAAGGGGAAAAGAUGGCCAGCAACGCAUCCUCAGCUGCCCUCUUCCAUUUUCCUUUCUUCACUGGCCAAGGGGGACUGGGAGAUAAGCAUCAUUGUGUUAAAUAUGUCCUUGAGGGUUUGUGUGGGAUGCUGGGCAUAAAACAAGGAUCUGAGGAGACCAUCGGUACCUGUGAGUGGAGUUGGAGCAGCAAAUCAAAUCUCUGGGUAAGAUGGGCUGGAGGUUAGUGAGCUUUUGGUCCCCAAGGACAUAGAGCAAAUCCUGUUCUCCCCUGGAUGAGCACCAACUCCACAUUAAACAAUCCGACUCAAUCACUUGGUUAGAGCUGCUUCUGUCCUUAAAGGUAAUCACCAUUAGCAGUGAGUUAUAUCAUACGGGGCAACCAACCAGAAAAUAAGACAAUGAGAUCCUAUUUUACUACUAACUAGUGUUACAACAAUGUUCUGCAAACUCCAGAGCUUCAGUUUCUUCACCUAUCAAAAGGAGAAGGCUGCAGUUCUGGCUUUAAUGGUCUCUGAUUUAGAGAGAUGGUAUUGAAGUACAACUGGAUUAUGUACAAGCAGUUCCAGGGGCAUCUUGAAAAAGAGCAGGAGAGAGUUAGUACUACUGUAGGAACAUUCAUUGUUGGAUGGGGUAUUGUUAUGGAGGCAGCUACACAUUUACUAGAAGAGAGAUAUAACCACAAAAGAGAGCCCACAUGAUAUUUAAGUAAAUGACAUGAGUCUAACUGGAGCCACCACUUAAGAAUGCUUUUACCUUACAUGUGUAAAAAUUAAAGAAACCUAGAAGGCCUAUUUAGGAAAAGGAAAUGAUAUUACAAGAUGAAGAAUAUAUGUUACAAUUAUCCUAGCUGUCUUCAUAAAAAGAGGGGAUUGGCUAUUUAACAACUUUAUUUUCAAAUGCUUCUGUAAUUUACAGACUUUCAUUAAGGUAAUGAUCUAAUG